rnacentral:lncRNA from 1 species
CAAAUUGUACCACCAAUGGUUGAGAUCUUACUUCAUAUUGGUUAGAAUACUCGUGUACUCUAGUAUAAAAAGGCAUCAUUGCUGCCAGGUAUAGAGCCACACAUCGAGGUUCCUUGCUAAACAUUGCUAAUUAAGAGGAAUGCUAAUGCGCAUGUUCCUAAUGUUAUUGUUGUUCCAUUAAAGCUCUUUCACUUCCUUGUUUUGGAAACCAGGCU